GUUUGCUGUUUAUCGUAAUACUAUCAAUCAACAUAACAAAGAUGUGCAAUAGUAGUAAUAAUAUUCAGGAUCGUAUAGACUUAAAACAAAAAUCAACAAAAAAAAUUUUUUUUAAAAUUAAAGAUAAUAUUUACUAUGUAUAUUUCACAGGACCAUUUUUUGAGAUAUUUAUUUCUCAGAUUAUCUAUUUAUAUUUAAAUUAAUAUUUUAUUUAAUUUAGUGAAGUAAUUUUUGUUUUUGGUCUAUUAGAUCCCGAGUACUAUUGAAAUUUGGAAGAGCAAAGCAAUUUUCGCUAUACUCCCUCUUUUUGUUAACAACCUAAAAGGCUGGUUGGCAGUAAUUUUCCACUCCUGACACUUCACCGCUUUCCUUUUUAGUUCACAAUACGAUCUGCAGUCCAUAUCUUUUACUAUUUGAUGAAUGUAGUCCAGUGAUGAUCACUCUCUGCUAUUAUUCCCCUGAAUGGCACCUUCUAUUAUUAUACUAAGUAGACUGUUAUGACGCAGCGUGUGACCAAUUGAAUUGAUUCUUCUUGUUUUUAAGGUUUUCAGGAAGCUUGUUUCUCCAGCUUUUAGAGAAACAUCAUCAUUUGCUAUGUCUAGUUUUUUUUAAGCAGUCUCCUGUAUUAUCAUGUCUCAAACAAUAGUCAUAUUUUUUCAGUUUUAUUUGCGGUCCAUGUCUCAUGUAAAACAUGCUCUAAACAUAAGCCUUUAGUAGGUUUUUCUUCACUUUUACAUCAAUGUUUCUAGACAUAAAUGUGUUUCUUACUUUGAAAUGCACAUUUUAAGGCUGUUUUCACCAACUUAAUAAACGAAGUUAAUCAGAUUUUAAAACUCAUUAGUCAAAGAAACGUUAGAUAGCCGAAACGUUGAGUUUCACUGGGGGAAUUUAACUAUAAACCGAAUUUGUAAGAUAACCGACCAUUUUUGCUUUGUUAUCGGUUAUAAACUCGUAAUAUUUAAUUACGUAAUUUCCGAAGUGUAGUUACAUACUCGCAUUGUAUUUUUUGGACUUAUUUUGUCAUUAUUUGAAGUAUUCUGUUAACUGUUAUGUUUUCUCGAGUCCAAGUGCAUGCAUUUGCACUAGUUUUAGAGGAUGAUUUUGAAGAAAUUUUCAUAAUCCACCGUCCAAGAUUUAUCAGGGAGAGAACAAAUGACUUUCAUAAGCUUGAUGAAAGAGAUUUCGUUAUUAGGUACAGAUUGCCGAAGAAAAGAUCAUCUCGAGUAUCGUAGUGACAAGUAAUUACUAAUUAGUAGUGAAUAGUGAAAGGUUUAUCAUGAACUAGUGUGUAUUUAGUUUAAUUUUAUAUAAUUUUGUAGAACCAACAAAACUGGACUAUAAAGUAACUUAAAAUUAUUAAUUAAUUAAACUCGUCAUCACAUUAUCAGUGAUUAUCAGUCUGCUAUCUACUAAAUAAUUGUAGUUUAAUAAUAUAUAACCUAGGUAUAUCGAAAACCGUUUUUAUUAAAAAUUUAGUUAUUGUGAUGAAACGCAAUCUUUCAAUUACGAUAACUGUAGUUUCCCGUAAACGGAGUUUAUCGGUUUUUUGUAAGAACGUGCCUAGUUUAUUUUACCAUAGGACCAUGGACACUAGAGAGUAGAGACACUUAAGUGUUUAUAAA